rnacentral:rRNA from 1 species
GACGAACGCUGGCGGCGUGCUUAACACAUGCAAGUCGAACGGAAAGGCCCUGCUUUUGUGGGGUGCUCGAGUGGCGAACGGGUGAGUAACACGUGAGUAACCUGCCCUUGACUUUGGGAUAACUUCAGGAAACUGGGGCUAAUACCGGAUAGGAGCUCCUGCUGCAUGGUGGGGGUUGGAAAGUUUCGGCGGUUGGGGAUGGACUCGCGGCUUAUCAGCUUGUUGGUGGGGUAGUGGCUUACCAAGGCUUUGACGGGUAGCCGGCCUGAGAGGGUGACCGGUCACAUUGGGACUGAGAUACGGCCCAGACUCCUACGGGAGGCAGCAGUGGGGAAUAUUGCACAGUGGGCGGAAGCCUGAUGCAGCAACGCCGCGUGCGGGAUGACGGCCUUCGGGUUGUAAACCGCUUUCGCCUGUGACGAAGCGUGAGUGACGGUAAUGGGUAAAGAAGCACCGGCUAACUACGUG